rnacentral:rRNA from 1 species
UGCAAGUCGAACGAACUCUGGUAUUGAUUGGUGCUUGCAUCAUGAUUUACAUUUGAGUGAGUGGCGAACUGGUGAGUAACACGUGGGAAACCUGCCCAGAAGCGGGGGAUAACACCUGGAAACAGAUGCUAAUACCGCAUAACAACUUGGACCGCAUGGUCCGAGCUUGAAAGAUGGCUUCGGCUAUCACUUUUGGAUGGUCCCGCGGCGUAUUAGCUAGAUGGUGGGGUAACGGCUCACCAUGGCAAUGAUACGUAGCCGACCUGAGAGGGUAAUCGGCCACAUUGGGACUGAGACACGGCCCAAACUCCUACGGGAGGCAGCAGUAGGGAAUCUUCCACAAUGGACGAAAGUCUGAUGGAGCAACGCCGCGUGAGUGAAGAAGGGUUUCGGCUCGUAAAACUCUGUUGUUAAAGAAGAACAUAUCUGAGAGUAACUGUUCAGGUAUUGACGGUAUUUAACCAGAAAGCCACGGCUAACUACGUGCCAGCAGCCGCGGUAAUACGUAGGUGGCAAGCGUUGUCCGGAUUUAUUGGGCGUAAAGCGAGCGCAGGCGGUUUUUUAAGUCUGAUGUGAAAGCCUUCGGCUCAACCGAAGAAGUGCAUCGGAAACUGGGAAACUUGAGUGCAGAAGAGGACAGUGGAACUCCAUGUGUAGCGGUGAAAUGCGUAGAUAUAUGGAAGAACACCAGUGGCGAAGGCGGCUGUCUGGUCUGUAACUGACGCUGAGGCUCGAAAGUAUGGGUAGCAAACAGGAUUAGAUACCCUGGUAGUCCAUACCGUAAACGAUGAAUGCUAAGUGUUGGAGGGUUUCCGCCCUUCAGUGCUGCAGCUAACGCAUUAAGCAUUCCGCCUGGGGAGUACGGCCGCAAGGCUGAAACUCAAAGGAAUUGACGGGGGCCCGCACAAGCGGUGGAGCAUGUGGUUUAAUUCGAAGCUACGCGAAGAACCUUACCAGGUCUUGACAUACUAUGCAAAUCUAAGAGAUUAGACGUUCCCUUCGGGGACAUGGAUACAGGUGGUGCAUGGUUGUCGUCAGCUCGUGUCGUGAGAUGUUGGGUUAAGUCCCGCAACGAGCGCAACCCUUAUUAUCAGUUGCCAGCAUUAAGUUGGGCACUCUGGUGAGACUGCCGGUGACAAACCGGAGGAAGGUGGGGAUGACGUCAAAUCAUCAUGCCCCUUAUGACCUGGGCUACACACGUGCUACAAUGGAUGGUACAACGAGUUGCGAACUCGCGAGAGUAAGCUAAUCUCUUAAAGCCAUUCUCAGUUCGGAUUGUAGGCUGCAACUCGCCUACAUGAAGUCGGAAUCGCUAGUAAUCGCGGAUCAGCAUGCCGCGGUGAAUACGUUCCCGGGCCUUGUACACACCGCCCGUCACACCAUGAGAGUUUGUAACACCCAAAGUCGGUGGGGUAACCUUUUAGGAACCAGCCGCCUAAGGUGGGACAGAUGAUUAGGGUGAAGU